AAUGAAGAACAAUGCAAAAUGGAGGAGAAUAGGGGAUACGGAGGAAACUUACCUGACAAGUAUUUCCCCAUAAACUUCUCUUUACCUCGAGAAACUUGAAAAUUCUACCCUUACGCUUAUAGAAGGUAGCGAAAGGUGUAGAGAUCAAAUGUAAAAGCGAGAAUUACAAAAUUAACUCUUAAGGCUUAAUAUGGUUGAAAGGAAAUCAAAUUCUGCCCAUACGAAACUAAAGAAAUGAGGAAUAGACAACGCAACAUCAAGAUAAAAACAAAGAAAGAAAUUAUUGGAUUCAAUAUUAAUUUUCUAGAACACACAUAUAGUAAACAUAUAACACGAAAACAUAAAAGAUAAAUAAGAAGAACAACGCAAAAUUUGAGAGAAUAGGGAAUAUGGAGAAAACUUAUCGAAGAACUAAUUCCCAAUAAACUUCUCUUGACAAGGGGAAACCUAAAAAUUCUACCCUUACGCUUAAAGCAAUGUAGAGAAAGGAGUAGAGAUCAAAUUUUAAAACCACAAUGUACUUGAAAGUAAAUAAAAUUUUUUUGAUAAGAAACUAAAGAAAUGAAAAAUAGAAAACACAACAUAGAGCUCUAAAAAAAACAAUGAAAUCAAAGGAUUGAAAAUUCAUUAUCUACUAGAUACACGCAGUGAACAAAUAACACUCAAAUAUAAAAGAGAAGAAUAAAGAACAAUGCGAAAUGGAGGAGAAUAGGGGAUACGGAGAAAACUUACCUGACAAGUAUUUUCAAACAAACUUCUCCUUUCCUCGGGAAACCUGAAAAUUCUACUUUCACGCUUACCUAACAAGUAUGUGUACUAGAAAAUUAAUUUUGAAUUCGUUAAUUUCUUUAUUUGUUUUUUAUCUUGAUCUUGCGUUGUCUAUUCCUCAUUUCUUUAGUUUUGUACCUGCAUAAUUUGAUUUUCUUUCAAUGAUAUUGUUCCUUAAGAGUUAAUUUUGUUAUUCUCAUUUUUACGUUUGAUUAAGCGUAAGGGUAAAAUUUUCAAGUUUCCCGAGGAAAAGUGAGGUUUGUUUGAAAAUACUUGUCAGGUAAGUUUUCUCCGUAUCCCCUAUUCUCCUCCAUUUCGCAUUGUUCUUCAUUCUUCUCUUUUAUAUUUGAGUGUUAUUUGUUCACUGCGUGUAUCUAGUAGAUAAUGAAUUUUCAAUCCUUUGAUGUCAUUGUCUUUUUUAGAACUCUAUGUUGUGUUUUCUAUUUUUCAUUUCUUUAGUUUCUUAUCAAAAAAAUUUUAUUUACUUUCAAGUACAUUGUGGUUUUAAAAUUUGAUCUCUACUCCUUUCUCUACCUUGCUUUUAGCGUAAGGGUAGAAUUUUUAGGUUUCCUCUAGUUCAGAGAAGGUUAUUAGGAAUUAGUUCUUCCAUAAGUUUUCUCCAUGUUCCCUAUUCUAUCAAAUUUUGCAUUGUUAUUCUUAUUUAUUUUUUAUGUUUUCGUGUUAUAUGUUUACUAUAUGUGUGUUCUAGAAAAUUAAUAUUGAAUCAAAUAAUUUCUUUCUUUGUUUUUAUCUUGAUGUUGCGUUGUCUAUUCCUCAUUUCUUUAGUUUCGUAUGGGCAGAAUUUGAUUUCCUUUACAACAUAUUAAGCCUUAAGAGUUAAUUUUCUAAUUCUCGUUUUUACAUUUGAUCUCUACACUUUUCGCUACCUUCUAUAAGCGUAAGGGUAGAAUUUUCAAGUUUCUCGAGGUAAAGAGAAGUUUAUGGGGAAAUACUUGUCAGGUAAGUUUCCUCCGUAUCCCCUAUUCUCCUCCAUUUUGCAUUGUUCUUUAUUAUUCCCUUUUAUGUUUGAGUGUUAUUUGUUGACCGCUUGUGUGUAGUAAAGAAUUAAUUUUCAAUCCUUUGAUUCCUUUGUUUGUUUUUAAAAGCUUGAUGUUGUGUUUUUUAUUCCUUAUUUCUUUAGUUUCGUAUCAGAAUAAUUUGAUUUAUUUUCAAGGACAUUGUGGUUUUAACAUUUGAUAUCUACUCCUUUCUCUAUCUUGCUUUAAGAAGAAUGGUAGAAUUUUCAGGUUUUCCGUGGUAAAGAGAAGUUUAUUGGGAAUUANNNNNNNNNNNNNNNNNNNNNNNNNNNNNNNNNNNNNNNNNNNNNNNNNNNNNNNNNNNNNNNNNNNNNNNNNNNNNNNNNNNNNNNNNNNNNNNNNNNNAACAGUGCAAAAUUUGAGAGAAUAGGGAAUACGGAGGAAACUUAUUCAAGAACUAAUUCCCAAUAAACUUCUCUUUACCACGAGAAACCUGAAAAUUCUACCCUUAUGCUUAAUGCAAGGUAGAGAAAGGAGUAGAGAUAAAAUGUUAAAACCACAAUAUCCUUAAGAGUAAAUAAAAUUAUUCGGAUACGAAACUAAAGAUAUGAGCAAUAGAAAACACAACAUUAAACUUUUAAAAACAAACAAAGGAAUCAAAGGAUUGAAAAUUAAUUCUAUACUACACACAAGCGGUCAACAAAUAACACUCAAACAUAAAAGAGAAUAAUGAAGAAGAAUGCAAAAUGGAGGAGAAUAUGGGAUACGGAGGAAACUUACUUGACAAGUAUUUCCUCAUAAACUUCUCUUUACCUCGAGAAACUUGAAAAUUCUACCCUUACGCUUAUAGAAGGUAGCGAAAGGUAUAGAGAUCAAAUGUAAAAACGAGAAUUACAAAAUUAACUCUUAAGGCUUAAUAUGGUUGAAAAGGAAAUCAAAUUUUGCCGAUACGAAACUAAAGAAAUGAGGAAUAGACAACGCAACAUCAAGAUAAAAACAAAGAAAGAAAUUAUUGGAUUGAAUAUUAAUUUUCUAGAACACACAUAUAGUAAACAUAUAACACGAAAACAUAAAAGAUAAAUAAGAAGAACAACGCAAAAUUUGAGAGGAUAGGGAAUAUGGAGAAAACUUAUCGAAGA
rnacentral:lncRNA from 1 species